AAUUUUUCAAUACUCUUUUAGAAUUUUUUCUAAAAGGAUUUCUGAGCUUGGUCGGGAAUCCCAA